UGAAUACGAGACGCUAAGGCGUCGAAGUAGUGUAUAUCAGACUUCCAAGAAAAGCUUGCACUGUCAUAGAUAAAAAACGCCUGUACCAUAACCGACACAGGUGGGUAGGUAGAGUAUACUAAGGGGCGCGAGAUAACUCUCUCUAAGGAACUCGGCAAAAUGACUCCGUAACUUCGGGAGAAGGAGUGCCUUAUUCGUAAGGCUGCAAUAACAAGAUCCAAGCAACUGUUUAUCAAAACACAGGUCUCCGCUAAGUCGUAAGACGAUGUAUGGGGGCUGACGCCUGCCCAGUGCCAGAAGGUUAAAGAAGUCGGUUAGCAUUAGCGAAGCUGGUAACUGAAGCCCUGGUGAACGGCGGCCGUAACGAUAACGGUCCUAAGGUAGCGAAAUUCCUUGUCAGGUAAGUUCCGGCCCGCACGAAAGGCGUAAUGAUUUGGAUACUGUCUCGGAGAGGGGCUCGGUGAAAUAGACUUGUCUGUGAAGAUGCGGACUACCUGCACCAGGACAGAAAGAUCCUAUGAAGCUUUACUGUAACUUGAAAUUGAAAUUGGACUUUAUUCGCGCAGUAUAGGUGGGAGGUGUUGAUUAUAAUCUUGCGGGAUUAUUGGAGCCAUCAGUGAGAUACCACUCUUGUAAUGUUAGAUUUCUAACUUUGAAUCAUUAUCUGGUCAAAGAACAGUUUCAGGCGGGCAGUUUGACUGGGGCGGUCGCCUCCUAAAUGGUAACGGAGGCGUACAAAGGUUUCCUCUGAACGGGUAGAAAUCGUAUCUAGAGUGUAAAGGCAUAAGGAAGCUUGACUGUGAGACCUACAAGUCGAGCAGGGACGAAAGUCGGUCUUAGUGAUCUGACGGUACUGAGUGGAAAGGCCGUCACUCAACGGAUAAAAGUUACUCUAAGGAUAACAGGCUGAUCUCCCCCAAGAGUUCACAUCGACGGGGAGGUUUGGCACCUCGAUGUCGGCUCAUCGCAUCCUGGGGCGGUAGUACGUCCCAAGGGUUGGGCUGUUCGACCAUGAAAGCGGUACGCGAGCUGGGUUCAGAACGUCGUGAGACAGUUCGGUCCAUAUCCGGUGUAGGCGUUAGAAUAUUGAGAGGAGCCUUCUUUAGUACGAGAGGACCGAGAAGGACAUACCUCUGGUGUACCAGUUAUCGUGCCAACGGUAAACGCUGGGUAGCUAUGUAUGGAGUGGAUAACCGCUGAAAGCAUCUAAGUGGGAAGCCCACCUCAAGAUAAGUAUUCUC
rnacentral:rRNA from 1 species